GAUGAACGCUGGCGGCGUGCCUAAUACAUGCAAGUCGAGCGAACAGACGAGGAGCUUGCUCCUCUGACGUUAGCGGCGGACGGGUGAGUAGCACGUGGAUAACCUACCUAUAAGACUGGGAUAACUUCGGGAAACCGGAGCUAAUACCGGAUAAUAUAUUGAACCGCAUGGUUCAAUAGUGAAAGACGGUUUUGCUGUCACUUAUAGAUGGAUCCGCGCCGCAUUAGCUAGUUGGUAAGGUAACGGCUUACCAAGGCAACGAUGCGUAGCCGACCUGAGAGGGUGAUCGGCCACACUGGAACUGAGACACGGUCCAGACUCCUACGGGAGGCAGCAGUAGGGAAUCUUCCGCAAUGGGCGAAAGCCUGACGGAGCAACGCCGCGUGAGUGAUGAAGGUCUUCGGAUCGUAAAACUCUGUUAUUAGGGAAGAACAAAUGUGUAAGUAACUAUGCACGUCUUAACGGUACCUAAUCAGAAAGCCACGGCUAACUACGUG
rnacentral:rRNA from 1 species